rnacentral:tRNA from 1 species
GGAGAGAUGUCUGAGUUGGUUUAAGGUGCUCGCCUGGAAAGCGGGUGUACGGUAGUACCGUACCGAGGGUUCGAAUCCCUCUCUCUCCGCCA